rnacentral:ncRNA from 1 species
GAGAGCCACGUGCGUCGAAAGAUGCCCGCGUGGUUCGGGAAGCGGCCCGAGGAAACGGACCGGCCACCAGGCCGGCACCGCGCCCCGGGCCGACUUCAC